rnacentral:rRNA from 1 species
GUGGGGAAUAUUGGACAAUGGGGGGAACCCUGAUCCAGCCAUGCCGCGUGUGUGAAGAAGGCCUUUUGGUUGUAAAGCACUUUAAGCGAGGAGGAGGCUACCGAGAUUAAUACUCUUGGAUAGUGGACGUUACUCGCAGAAUAAGCACCGGCUAACUCUGUGCCAGCAGCCGCGGUAAUACAGAGGGUGCAAGCGUUAAUCGGAUUUACUGGGCAUAAAGCGCGCGUAGGUGGCCAAUUAAGUCAAAUGUGAAAUCCACGAGCUUAACUUGGGAAUUGCAUUCGAUACUGGUUGGCUAGAGUAUGGGAGAGGAUGGUAGAAUUCCAGGUGUAGCGGUGAAAUGCGUAGAGAUCUGGAGGAAUACCGAUGGCGAAGGCAGCCAUCUGGCCUAAUACUGACACUGAGGUGCGAAAGCAUGGGGAGCAAACAGGAUUAGAUACCCCGGUAGUCC